UCAAAUGCACUUUACUGAGCUCAGUUAAAACAAAUACCGAGCUCACAGUUCCGACCACGUGACGCUUGAUGUGACGCCAUUUUUUGCGAAUCGGAAUCUUGAGACCGAUUUCAUUAAACGAAUUUAUUUUGUGAUUAGUUGCUUCGGUAUAAAUCGAUUCUAAUAAAUAUAAUCAUAUGAUAAUCAGGCGAAAAAACUUAAACUAUGUAUUUAUCACCAGUCGUUGACGUCGUCGCUGCGUUACCAUUUUGUUUAGUAGAUUCUGGAUUCGGAUCCGACUGCAGAAACAAAUUUUCAGGACGACGAUGAGGCCCUACAACGUUCCCUUUGAGGUAGCAUUCCGAGGACUGAGUGGAGUAGCGCCACUGGGAGAAAUCAAGAGUGAAAAAAUGUAUCACCAAUCACUA